rnacentral:rRNA from 1 species
GCCAGCCCGCUCAGAACUCAAGGAAUUGACGGGGCCGGCACAAGCGGUGGAGUAUGUGGUUUAAUUCGAUGCAACGCGAAGAACCUUACCUGGUCUUGACAUCCCGGAGACCCUUAGGAAACUAGGGGGUGCUUCCAUCUGGAAGAAUCUGGAGACAGGUGCUGCAUGGCUGUCGUCAGCUCGUGUCGUGAGAUGUUGGGUUAAGUCCCGCAACGAGCGCAACCCUUGCCUUUAGUUGCCAGCAGUUCGGCUGGGCACUCUAAAGGGACUGCCGGUGUUAAACCGGAGGAAGGUGGGGAUGACGUCAAGUCCUCAUGGCCUUUAUGACCAGGGCUACACACGUACUACAAUGGCCGAUACAAAGGGCAGCGACACUGCGAGGUGAAGCCAAUCCCGUAAAAUCGGUCUCAGUCCGGAUUGGAGUCUGCAACUCGACUCCAUGAAGUUGGAAUCGCUAGUAAUCGCGCAUCAGCCAUGGCGCGGUGAAUACGUUCCCGGGCCUU